rnacentral:rRNA from 1 species
UACGGAGGAUGCAAGCGUUAUCCGGAUUUAUUGGGCGUAAAGCGUCCGCAGGUGGCUAUACAAGUCUGCUGUUAAAGCGUGGGGCUUAACUCCAUACAGGCAGUGGAAACUGUAAAGCUAGAGUCUGGUAGGGGUCACGGGAAUUCCCAGUGUAGCGGUGAAAUGCGUAGAUAUUGGGAAGAACACCAGCGGCGAAAGCGCGUGACUGGGCCGGAACUGACACUCAUGGACGAAAGCUAGGGGAGCGAAAGGG